rnacentral:tRNA from 1 species
GGCGUUGUGGCUGAGUGGUAAAGCGCUUGGCUUCUGAACCGGGGGUUCCGGGUUCGAAUCCUGGUGAAGAUU